rnacentral:rRNA from 1 species
GAUGAACGCUGCCGGCGUGCCUAAUACGUGCAAGUCGAGCGAACGGACGAGAAGCUUGCUUCUCUGAUGUUAGCGGCGGACGGGUGAGUAACACGUGGAUAACCUACCUAUAAGACUGGGAUAACUUCGGGAAACCGGAGCUAAUACCGGAUAAUAUUUUGAACCGCAUGGUUCAAAAGUGAAAGACGGUCUUGCUGUCACUUAUAGAUGGAUCCGCGCUGCAUUAGCUAGUUGGUAAGGUAACGGCUUACCAAGGCAACGAUGCAUAGCCGACCUGAGAGGGUGAUCGGCCACACUGGAACUGAGACACGGUCCAGACUCCUACGGGAGGCAGCAGUAGGGAAUCUUCCGCAAUGGGCGAAAGCCUGACGGAGCAACGCCGCGUGAAUGAUGAAGGUCUUCGGAUCGUAAAACUCUGUUAUUAGGGAAGAACAUAUGUGUAAGUAACUGUGCACAUCUUGACGGUACCUAAUCAGAAAGCCACGGCUAACUACGUG